rnacentral:misc_RNA from 1 species
CUGAACGUCCCCACAACAAAACGCGCACAAUACAACCACAACCAUAACGUGGUUAGCUUAUCUUUCCGUACAUUGCCUUUCGUAUUCUGUUUAAUUUGUUUCGUUUUUUUUUUUCUGUUUUCCCGCUGAGCGUCCUCAUCCGCCAUCAUGACGAAGCAGGCGAAUUGGUUAAUGUCGCUGAAGCCGAUGCUGGCGGUGCUGCCGGAGAUCGAGAAGCCCCGCCGCAUGCCUGGCAUCAAGGAGCGCAUCAUGUGGACAGCUGUGGCGCUCUUUGUCUUCCUCAUUUGCUGCCAAGUUCCCGUGUACGGCGCCCGUCCUGGCAACGCCAGCGACCCGUUCUACUGGAUGCGUAUUGUGCUGGCGAGUAACAAGGGCACGCUGAUGGAGCUCGGCAUCUCGCCUAUCGUGUCCGCCUCUCUCAUCCUGGAACUUUUAGCUGGCGUGCGCAUCCUCACCUACGACCCGAACAACCGUGAGGAGCGGGCGGUAUUCGAGGGCUUCCAGAAGAUGAUGGGCCUGGUGAUCACGGCGGUGGAGGCGGUGGCGUACGUGUCCUCCGGCAUGUACGGUGAUCCGUCCCGUAUUGGUGUGGUCAUGUGCGGCUUGAUUGUUCUCCAGCUCAUGGUGGCAACCAUGAUUUGCAUUCUGCUAGACGAGCUCCUGCAGAAAGGAUGGGGCAUUGGCAGCGGCACCUCCCUCUUCAUCGCCACAAACGUGUGCGAUACCAUCAUUUGGAAAGCAUUCUCUCCAUCCACCAUCAACACUGGCCGCGGCGCCGAGUUUGAGGGUGCCAUCAUCGCCUUCUUCCACCUGCUCGUCUCGCGCACCGACAAGGUGCGUGCGCUGCGUGAGGCAUUUUACCGGCCGCAGCUGCCGAACCUGACGAACAUCUUCUCCACCGCCGUGGUCUUCGUCGUCGUCGUCUUCUUCCAGGGCUUCCGUGUGCCACUCAUGACAAAAAGUAAGUUCAACGGAAACGACCGCCAGCCUUACAUGAUCAAGCUCUUCUACACGAGCAACAUGCCGAUCAUUCUGCAGACAAGCGUUGUGUCGAACAUCAGCUUCUUUUCUCAGAUCCUGUCGCGCCGCUUCGGCAACCGAAACUUCCUGAUCAACCUGCUUGGCCGGUGGGAGGAGCGCGGAUACAAUGGCGGCGGCAACGGUCAGCUGUUUCCUGUCGGCGGCCUUGCAUACUACCUCGUGCCCCCGGCGACCUUCUACGACCUGCUAGCCGACCCCAUUCACGCCAUAUUCUACGUGGUCUUUGUGCUGACCUCGUGCGCCGUUUUCUCCCGGCUGUGGAUCACCAUCUCGCACACGGCGCCGCGGGAUGUGGCGAAGCAGCUGGCCUCACAGGGCCGCUGGCUCGUGCAGGCCCGCGAGAGCGAGGAUGAUAUGACCCGGCUCUUGGAGAAGUACAUCCCUGUCGCGGCCAGCUUCGGGGGCCUCUGCGUCGGCGCGCUGACGAUCUUCGCGGACUUUCUUGGCGCCAUUGGUAGCGGCACCGGUAUCCUGCUCUCCGUCACCAUGAUCAACCAGUACUACGAGAUUCUUCAGCAGGAGGGCCAGGACCUCGGCUACGGCUUCCUGAAGCAGAAAGUUGCGUAGCUGCGAGCACAGCCGAAUCGAUGGAUCGUAGUUGCCUCUGUGCGCGCGUGGUUGUGCCGGUCUAUGUCCGUGCCUGAGCGGGCGUAUGCUAGUAUUUUUAUUAGUGUCUUUUUCGCUUGCCCAGAGCGCGGCGGGCAGGAGGGCAAGGAAGCCGUGUGGGCCGCUUCACGCCAUCCUUUCUCUUGCUCUUCUCGUUUUGCGACGCACAUAAGCCCCGUUUUUUUUUUUGCAGACGGGAAGCCUGGGUGGAGAUGGAGUCGUGGCAGUGAAGUGCCAGUGGGGCCCAUCGUUGGUGCUCCGUGCGAGACGAGAAGAGUCCGAACACAACGAGGGGUACGAGGACGAAGCACACGCCGCUGCCUUUGCGCGCCACAGCUUCCGCAUGGCCACAGGGGGCGGCAGAGGCGGCGGCAUGCACAGAGGAGGCUUUCUAUUGCCCUUGUGUAUUUGUUCGCUGCCUAUGGCUUCGCCACAUGUGCCUGUUCGGCUCUCUGUGUGCGUCUGUGUGCCUGCUGCUGCGGUGUGGCGUUCGCGGUCCGAUGGGCCAGAGCGAGAGCAGGACGGUGACUCGGAGAGGCAGAGGGCGGUGCAGCGACCGAGCAGGUGAGGGCUCGGGGAGUUCGGGGGGGGGGGGGGAAGCGGGAGCGUGUAAGUAAACGAGAUGCCGUUCGACGGUGAAGACACCAUGCCCUUUCAUGGGCUCUAUGCGCUUCUCCCUCAAUACCCCGAGCGCGCGCACACAUUCCUGGGCUCUUUUUUUAUCGAAUGCGUGCCACCGGCGACUGCGCCCCUCUCUCAUGGCGGCGCUCUCCCCCAUCACUGAUGCAGCCCUCCCUCUUCCUGUUUCGUGUGCCCCUUCUCAGUGCUCGGAUCGUGCGCGUCGUGUGUCAUGCGCCUCACAGUGGCCACAUGCGCCAGCUCACAGUCGAUGAACACACUCGCAUCCCUUGCCCGCAGCGGAUUCGUGAUGCGCUUGACCCAUCGUGCCUUUGUGCGCCCGAUUAUGGUUCGCUGGCGCUGCAGCACGUAUCCAUUUCGUUCUCUCACUCUAUUUCGUCUGCCGCUCGCUUCGGUGGGCACUUCGCGCUCCUCGUCUACCACGACUAAGUAUGCUGUACUUUGGAGGGUGGGCAGCUGCACACGGGAAGAGGCGGGAGAUGGGUGGCGGGCGAACCGACUCACUGCUGCAUUGCCGCCGCUGAAAGGAUUCGCCCCGCACCGGCGUUUUCUGUCCGCGUGUGUUUUUCUCUGUGCUUGUUUUUGUGUGUGUGUAGCUGGGCGGGUGGUGCUGCGGCUCUCUUUUCGUUUGUAUACGGCCGCGAGCGAAAGAGAAGGAGGCAGAGGCGAAAAAAGGUGUUUUUUUUUUUAAACGGCCAUGGAGGGAGUGACGCCGCCCUCUUGCGUCUCUGCACCUUCCCCAUCCCCCUCCUCCUCCACAUCCUUUUUGACUCUCCGAGACGAGCAAGCAUCUCCGACGCGCUGCGGGACGGAGAUGAGAGAGGGGGGAGGGGGCAGAGCGUGCAGGUAAGAGAUGAGGUGGCGCAUGAUCGGUUCUCGGCGCUAAGCAUGCGCACACGUGCAAAACAAUCGAAAAGCAGAACCCGAGCAACGGGGUGCGCGUGCGUGUCCACGAAGCUUCCCCUUACUUCCCUCUUCUUUUGCCCAUCACUGAUGGAGGAAUCUAUGCGUCUCUCUUCUCGUCAGGUGUGCUCGAUUAGGGAGGCCGCCGCGCCUCACCGUUGCCAAAGGGGAAGAGGAGGAGACAUCUCUCGCAUGUGCGCCGCUUCGUUGCCCCUCCCCCUCCCCCCACCCCCCGCAGGGAACUGCGACUGCGAGGGCAUGGCUCGAGGUGUGUGCGAAGAGAGGUGAAGGGGACGACGAUGCUGCGAGCUGACACGCUUCCGACUUCU